rnacentral:rRNA from 1 species
AACGAACGCUGGCGGCAUGCCUAACACAUGCAAGUCGAACGAGACCUUCGGGUAUAGUGGCGCACGGGUGCGUAACGCGUAGGAACCUGCCCUUAGGUUCGGAAUAACUCCCCGAAAGGGGUGCUAAUACCGGAUAAUGUCUUCGGACCAAAGAUUUAUCGCCUUAGGUUGGGCCCGCGUUGGAUAAGCUAGUUGGUAGGGUAAAAGCCUACCAAGGCGACGAUCCAUACCUGGUCUGAGAGGAUGAUCCGCAACACUGGGAGUGAGCAACGGCCCAGACUCUUACGGGAGGCAGCAGAGGGGAAUAGUGGAAAGCGGGCGAAAGCCUGAUCCAGCUAUGCUGGGUGAGUGAUGAAGGCCUUAGGGUGGGAAAGCUCUUUUACCCGGGAUGAUAAUGACAGUACCGGGAGAAUAAGCUCCGGCUAACUCCGUG